rnacentral:rRNA from 1 species
UACAGAGGGUGCAAGCGUUAAUCGGAAUUACUGGGCGUAAAGCGUGCGCAGACGGUCUCGUAAGUCGGGUGUGAAAUCCCCGGGCUCAACCUGGGAAUUGCAUUCGAAACUGCGAGGCUAGGGUACGGAAGAGGGAAGCGGAAUUUCUGGUGUAGCGGUGAAAUGCGUAGAUAUCAGAAGGAACAUCAGUGGCGAAAGCGGCUUCCUGGUCCAGUACCGACGUCAGGCACGAAAGCGUGGGGAGCAAACAGG